rnacentral:rRNA from 1 species
AUUGAACGCUGGCGGCAGGCUUAACACAUGCAAGUCGAGCGGAGAGAGGUAGCUUGCUACCGAUCUUAGCGGCGGACGGGUGAGUAAUGCUUAGGAAUCUGCCUAUUAGUGGGGGACAACAUUUCGAAAGGAAUGCUAAUACCGCAUACGUCCUACGGGAGAAAGCAGGGGAUCUUCGGACCUUGCGCUAAUAGAUGAGCCUAAGUCGGAUUAGCUAGUUGGUGGGGUAAAGGCCUACCAAGGCGACGAUCUGUAGCGGGUCUGAGAGGAUGAUCCGCCACACUGGGACUGAGACACGGCCCAGACUCCUACGGGAGGCAGCAGUGGGGAAUAUUGGACAAUGGGCGCAAGCCUGAUCCAGCCAUGCCGCGUGUGUGAAGAAGGCCUUAUGGUUGUAAAGCACUUUAAGCGAAGAGGAGGCUACUUUAGUUAAUACCUAGAGAUAGUGGACGUUACCCGCAGAAUAAGCACCGGCUAACUCUGUGCCAGCCGCCGCAGUAACAC